GAAUGCUUUGAACAGGUGGCUUUGUAAUGUGCAUAUCAGGUAGUGCAAUUUCGGUAGCACAAGCAUUUUAAUGGAUGCUGUUCUUCCCACCCAAGACAAGUAUUUGCCCUCCCAUGUUUAUAAGAUGUCAGAGAUCUCCUUCAUCAGUGUGACAUAGUUAUACUGAGACCAGCUGUAUUUUUCAGUAUCGGCAAGCCUAAGGAGGUGAGAUAGUCGUCUCUUCAGUCUAGGGGGAAUGUAGCUCUCAAGUGGGCUAUAGUGUAGUUGUGCACCCCCAACCCCAUUGCCCGUGUUUUAGUUAUGUUCAAUUUAUAGUAUGUCCCCAUAGGAGCAAAUUUCGCUCAGGAGGUAUGGCAGUGACACUUGAAGCUGCGUGAAUGUUAG